rnacentral:lncRNA from 1 species
ACCGUUAGGAGAGAAAAAAAACCAACCCGCGCUCUCGUAAACAUCUGUCGGAUAGGUGCUUGCAAUUUAACUUACACGACAAUGUAAACAAUCUUUGCCUGGAUGCGGAUAGGACUUUUCGACUUUUUAUAAAUUUUGAAUGUUUUUUUAUGUUUAUGUUUGCCAAAGAAGUGUCAAAAUCUUGGUGUAGGCUAAUUAUUUAGCGUUCAAGUAAGUUUUUCUAUUAAAAUACAGAGUAGAUUCCAAAUCCGACAAUUCGGGCGCCCAUUUGCAGUAGUGGCGGUCCUUGUAAAGAUCCCGAAUUGACAGAGAAUCCUUCGCCAAAUAAUGUAAUCCGGUGGCGGAUGGACGCUUGUUCGUAAUUCCAACGUCAAAAUAGAACCUGCAGCAGUCAUAUUCAAACCUAAACCUGGCGGGUGGUAAUCGAGUCGGAGAUACCUCCAGCAACAACUCCACUAGCAACAGUUCUACGAUCGCGGAGCCCAAGUCGACGGUAGCGGCAGCGGCCGCGUCCUACGAAUCGUGUUUUUGGUGGAAGUAGCAGUGGAAGCUCGAAAGUUCAAGCACGAGUGGCGGAGGUGGAGGCAGCACUACGAAUACGACCAGUAACAACAACAGCAGAGGUCCGGUAGUAACUGUUGGAGCAGCUGUAAUGGCGGCCACGGCUGGUACGCCAAACUAGCCGAUCUGUCGCGAAUCUUUUGCGAGGUCAUGCACCACUUCCGGUUAGACUUAUUUCCCAUGCCCAGGUGAACCAGCAGAAGUCCAACUCACUAAGCCCAAGGUCGCCAAAAUCAUCGCUUGUCCAAACAUCCAACAAGAGUUUUUGGAGUGCACGACACGCUUGGACGAGCAACUGCUCAAUGCUCAACAUUGAAGACUCGGAGAAUGAAACCAUGUCGGAGUGCGUCGAUGGAACCUACCCCACGCUGGACGAGAGUCGCUCGAGACGUUUAUCUCGGAAGACGUUUUGGUGGUGGCGGCAGAUGGAUCGCGGGAUACCAACUACAACUACGAGUGGGGAGUGUAUCGACGAGGUAAUCCACGCGCUCAACGGCUGCACCGACAUCCCGAUUGCCCUGCCGCAGCUAGGACGCGUACGCGUACGCGAAUCUCAUCGCUAUGAACUCGUUCUGCAAGGACGCGCUGGGUUGGCAACCAGCACCGGUCGACGACGAGCAGGCGUGAGUUUCGGCAGGCAGUGGCCGCGGAUGUUGCAUUAGCAAGCGUAGCGCCAAAAAACCUACUAAACGAAAAUGUUGGCGGAAAACCGAGACGCACCCAGCAGAGACGAGGAGAUUGACAAGCGUGAGACGUUGCCGCCGUAGUAGAACUGGAUAGCAGGACCGGGCCGCGUCACAGACACGUGGUCGAAGCGCGCAACGACUUGAUGCAUCCCGAAGAGGGACAUGAACGGGAUUCGAAGCAGUACGAUUUUAUUAGAAAUUUAGGCAUCACCUACCUACUACAGUAGUUGUUCGGUAACUGGGCUGAGAACGUAGCCCAGUCAUCGAAUGCUGUUCGCUAACUGGGCUGAACGAAAAAUAACGAGGGGACUACCGAUGCAUAAUAUUUAUUUG